CCCUGUUUUGUGCAUUUUGAUUUCAUGGGAACUUUAAAACUGUAUGAAGUUUCCAGUGUAUAGGCUACUGCACGGUCUUCAACGAGUAGCCUGUAGCUAUAAAUUUGGAUCCUUUUCCCAGUUUUAUUUAAAAUAUUUACGUGUUAGUGAAUGGUAGCUUUAAAAACAAGUCCGCCCAAAAUAAAUCCACGUUUAAAUUAAUUCACGAGAACCCCCUGAAUUAAUUCAAAACUUGAGAUGAAUUCGGGGGCAAAAAAAUGCACGUGGCAGUGGCAUUAUGCAUGCACAUCCAUUGAGCAAAAGGCGCUCUCAACUGAAUUCUACCUUGUAAAAACUUCGGCGCUAACAAUGUUGGCGGGUACUGGAUAUGCGAAGCAGGCGCACGCGGUGGAAUUAGAAGAGUUCGCAUGAUGGGAUAGCAUCAGUCUUCUGAUGCUGGCCGUCGCUGAUGGCUUGGCACAGUGGGAGCUUCAGAGCUCCAGGAUAGCUCGGACGACACAGUCUGCUGAUAGCUAGGCUGGUUAUACCUCACUAAGGAGCUCCGUAUGUCUUGAAGAAAGCAUAAAAUGAGAAUAAAUGGUAGGUGUCAAUCCCAGAGGGGAGGGCCGGUCAUCUGGAGAAGGAAAGAUGUAUGAACACAUAAGGAUGGGUAAUUCCAUCUCUCCACCAGGAGAGGAGACAAAAUGACUUCAACAUCUGUGGCCUGUAGCGAAACAUGAGGAUUUCUAGUUGUUUCUCUUUCUGGUUAAAAAUCUUUCUUUGUGUGUGAAAUGCUAUCAAAGCAAUAUAUGCAAUAUAUAUUUAAUUGUAUGCAAUAAGCAAUUAUACAAGCAAUAUAUAUUUAAUUAUGUUUUGCAGCUGCUUUACUAUUUAUUUGUACAACAUAUGUGAUAUGUGCUAUUCAGAAUUGAACAUGAACGUUAUAAUUUUUUAAUUUAAAUUUUAGAUUAAGGAUUCAAAUUUCAGAAUGUCGUAAGAAUACUUACAUUACAAUGAAUUGUAUGGACUGCUUUUUAUUGAUUUAUUGUAUUCCACUGGGGAAAUAAAUACAGCAUGUAAGUUUUUUUUAUUUUUUUUAUUGACCAAUCCGAAUUCUGUACCAGAAUCAGUUUUAUAACAGAGAACAGAAUAGUGAAUGAACACUGUUUAUUGCAUUACAGUACCUUUGGGAUGAAGCUUUAGGAUGAAUAUUAGAUUGCACAGACAGAACAACGUAGAACUGCAAUAAAGAAUAUACAAAUAAAUUUAA